rnacentral:rRNA from 1 species
UACAGAGGGGGCAAGCGUUGUUCGGAAUUACUGGGCGUAAAGGGCGCGUAGGCGGCCUGCUAAGUCGAACGUGAAAUCCCCGGGCUCAACCCGGGAACUGCGUCCGAUACUGGUGGGCUUGAAUCCGGGAGAGGGAUGUGGAAUUCCAGGUGUAGCGGUGAAAUGCGCAGAUAUCAGGAGGAACACCAAUGGCGAAGGCAGCUCGCUGGGACGGUACUGACGCUGAGACGCGAAAGCGUGGGGAGCAAACAGG